rnacentral:lncRNA from 1 species
UGUACAAGUUGUUUUCUUUGCUUCUGCUUCUGCUGUUAGUUUUUCUUUCCCUAUGAUAUAUGGAGCCUUUGUAAGGUUGACCACAACCAGUAUUCCAACUGAUGGGUGAGUACAUCAUGUGUAUUUAUUGAAAAUCAGGCAUAGUUGGUGCAAUUGUGUUCACUUGUUUUGUAGUAAAAUAAAUGUCUUGUUUAAUAUAUGGCUUCAUUCUUGCUUGAUUGAGUACUAGAUUUUGGGGGUUGGGGCAUUGCUAAUAAUUACUGAGCAUGAGUGCAAGUUCCUGACUAUGCUUGAUUGUAAACUUUUGAUUACUUUCUAUAGGUGUUGUGCAAAAAGGUAUUUAAUGCUAUUUUCAGAGACUGUAAUGGUAUUUCCAUUUUCUACUUAUGUUUUGUUGAUGGAAAUUUUAUGGUGAUUGAAUUUGCUUCAUCGCCGUUUUCUAUCACAAGCACUAAAUCCCUAGUCAUCGACCUAAAUCCUUAAAAUGUUGUUUCCUUCAUUCCAAUUCCUAAUCCCUAAAUUUCCAACGAAGCUUUUCAAUUUCUGGCUAGUGACAAAGCUUCUAUUUCUUUCUCUCGUUGAACAUAGUUGAUUGUUUUCAUAUCAGGUUCCUUGUUCUCUCUUUGAGCAAGUUAUCCUUUGAAAAAACAACUAU